CAAAUCCAGCCUGAAUGUGGAAGAGUCCUUUUUCACCCUGGGAAGAGACAUAAUGACGAGACUCAACAGAAAAAUAAACGACAACAGUCCUCCAGGAGGCGGUGGGCCGGUCAAGAUCACAGAGAACCGGUCAAAGAAGAGCAGCUUCUUCAGAUGUUCUCUGUUCUAGUGGAUCCAUCCUCUCCUUUCCAUGGACUGG